CGCGGGAUGGAGCAGCUGGCAGCUCGUGAGGUUCAUUCCCUCAAGGUCGGCGGUUCGAGUCCGCCUCCCGCAACAA
rnacentral:tRNA from 1 species